rnacentral:rRNA from 1 species
UUAAGCAUAUCAAUAAGCGGAGGAAAAGAAACUAACAAGGAUUCCCCUAGUAACUGCGAGUGAAGCGGGAAAAGCUCAAAUUUGAAAUCUGGCAGUUCUUUGCUGUCCGAGUUGUAAUCUAGAGAAGUGUUACCUGUGCUGGACCGUGUACAAGUCUUCUGGAAUGGAGCAUCAUAGAGGGUGAGAAUCCCGUCUUUGACAUGGACUACCAGUACAUUAUGGUGUGCUCUCAAAGAGUCGAGUUGUUUGGGAAUGCAGCUCAAAAUGGGUGGUAAAUGCCAUCUAAAGCUAAAUAUUGGCGAGAGACCGAUAGCGAACAAGUACCGUGAGGGAAAGAUGAAAAGAACUUUGGAAAGAGAGUUAAACAGUACGUGAAAUUGCUGAAAGGGAAACGCUUGAAGUCAGUCGCAUUGGCUAGAAAUCAACCUUGCUUUUGCCUGGUGUACUUUCUGGUUGAUGGGUCAGCAUCAAUUUUGACUGCUGGAUAAAGUCACUGGGAAUGUAGCAUCUUUGGAUGUGUUAUAGCCCUAUGUUGCAUACAGUAGUUGGGAUUGAGGAACUCAGCAUGCCGCAAGGCCAGGUUUUUUAAACCAUGUUCGUGCUUAGGAUGCUGGCAUAAUGGCUUUAAUCGACCCGUCUUGAAACACGGACCAAGGAGUCUAACAUGCCUGCGAGUGUUUGGGUGGAAAACCCAUGCGCGUAAUGAAAGUGAAAGUUGAGAUCCCUUUCAAGGGAGCAUUGACGCCCAGACCAGACCUUUUGUGACGGAUCUGCGGUAGAGCAUGUAUGUUGGGACCCGAAAGAUGGUGAACUAUGCCUGAAUAGGGUGAAGCCAGAGGAAACUCUGGUGGAGGCUCGUAGCGAUUCUGACGUGCAAAUCGAUCGUCAAAUUUGGGUAUAGGGGCGAAAGACUAAUCGAA